rnacentral:lncRNA from 1 species
UCGCACAUUAAAGAAAGUUGACUUGUUGACCAGUCAAUGGUUUUCAGGGCAAUAGGGAACUUUACCCUACCAUCACAGGAACAAACAUAAACCGGGUGAACAGGUUGUGCUUGUGGACAUCCUAGUUCUUUUUCUUUUUUUAAGUAUUCUAGUCUUGUUCUGUUUCAAGAAAUCACUGAACAAGUGUUGCAUUUUCCUUUUGUGACUUGCCUUUUGUGAGGUAGUGCGCAUCAAGUGUUGUGACUUGCCUCUCUCUCUCUCUCUCUC